UCAAGAACCCCAACAGGAGAGCUUGUAUCCGUCUUUUUCUCCAUAUCUAAAUGAUCGCACAACCUGCUAGGUCAACAUGAUUUAAAUGCAGAAAAUAUCAACAGAUGAUUGAGAGGCAAGAAGUGAAAUGAUAGAAAUUUCCUUUUUACCUGGAGCAGAAACAGAGACACAGGACAGAGUAUUGCACUUUCUUAUUGAUUCCAGGGACCACCUUCUUCACAAAGUACUCUAACCGAUUAAAAUGUUCUCUCUCAGAUUCAUAGGGGCGUGGACUUCAGAGAGCAGAAGCAAAAUCCUUCAGAGAGGGGGGACAAAGAGACACAGAGAGGGUGGCAGAGAACGUAGCAUAGAAG
rnacentral:misc_RNA from 1 species